GCUUCUAUGUGACUUGUUACUUGCUCAAUUUGAUGAAAUUUUUUUAAAUUCUAUGUUUUCACUUCUAAAACUUUAGUUUGGUUCAUUUGUUUGUUGUUUAAUCUUUAAUGUAGGCUAUAAUUAGAUACUUAAUGUUUUCCGGACUCAUGGAAGGCUUGGUCUCAGGCUGUUGGCAAACCUAAAGAGGUAAUUAGAUCAUGCCUGUGCUAAUUCAUCAAUGAAUCCACUGACCAGUUCACAGUUCAGGGCUUACUAGGGCUUAACUGUGUGUCUGAGGGUGGGGAAGGGGGCAGCUAGGGAGUGACUCGAAAGGUCUGCCCUGGCUACAACCUUUUUCCUCUUGUAUUUGCCUUUUCUCAGUGGAGCCAGUUAACCACGGACAGUAAACUCUGAAACCACAUAUCAGAAUGAACUUUGCAUCCUCCGAGUUGCUUUAUCUGACUGUGAGGUCAGUUUUCUGUUACCCUGACACAAGCUAAGAACAUUUGGGAAGAGGGUGACUCAAGUGGGAAGACCCAUCCCAUCCCAUCCCUGGGCUAUUGGUCCUGGGUUCUAUAAGAAAGCAGGCUGAGCAAGCCAGUAAGCAGCACUCCUCCAUGGCCUCUGCCUCAGCUCUGGCUACAGGUUCCUGCUUUAAGUCUACCCUGACUUCCACUGAUGACUGCCUGUGCAGUGGAAAUGUAAGCCAAAUAAAUGCCUUUCUCUUC
rnacentral:lncRNA from 1 species